AUUGAACGCUGGCGGCAGGCCUAACACAUGCAAGUCGAGCGAGCGGCGGACGGGUGAGUAAUGUCUGGGAAUCUGCCCGAUAGAGGGGGAUAACUACUGGAAACGGUUGCUAAUACCGCAUACUAUCGGAUGUGCCCAGAUGGGAUUAGCUAGUAGGUGGGGUAACGGCUCACCUAGGCGACGAUCUCUAGCUGGUCUGAGAGGAUGAUCAGCCACACUGGAACUGAGACACGGUCCAGACUCCUACGGGAGGCAGCAGUGGGGAAUAUUGCACAAGGGGCGCAAGCCUGAUGCAGCCAUGCCGCGUGUAUGAAGAAGGCCUUCGGGUUGUAAAGUACUUUCAGCGAGGAGGCGUUACUCGCAGAAGAAGCACCGGCUAACUCCGUGCCAGCAGCCGCGGUAAUAC
rnacentral:rRNA from 1 species